AGAUGUUAAUGGUAUUUCUCUACUAUACUUCCAGAGUAACGACUUUCCCAGGAAUUACACGAAGUCUAUGUGAAUCACGUGACGACCGACCAUUUAAACUGCUAUUGACUCUACUCACAGCUCUGAGUUCUACCACGUUUUAGAAAAUUCUAUUAAAUUAUAAAUCGAGAACAGUUAAUGCAGGUGUUCUCCAGUCAGUUACUACCUAACUGUGAGUCAUGGGUAAAAUCGCCGAGCUCAGCGAGAGCCUCCGGUCACGCAUUGUGGCUGCACACAAGACAGGGAAAGGCUACAAAGCAAUAUCCAAGUGUUUCGAAGUGCCAGUGGCCACAGUGCGAAGCAUCAUCAAAAAGUACAAGGAGUUCAACACCGUGGAAAACCUGAAAGGGCGUGGUAGGAAGCCAAAAGUGACCCCCGCGCUGGUGAGGAUGGUGGUGAGAGAGGCCAAGAAGAACCCAAACAUCACCACCAAGGCCAUCCUGAAGAACCUGAGCCACUCUGGUACUAACAUCUCCAGACAGACGCUUCAGAGGACACUGCAGAGGGCUGGUCUGCAGGGACGCAAAACAAGGGGAGCUACACUUCUGCAAGACAGCAAUGAACAGACAGAAGGGAAGCAACCGGAAAGUGAAGAAGUGGCAAUCAGUGAAUCAGAGGUAGAGCCUGGUUUGGAGAGCGAGCUGCAGGUCGACUCUCUCCAUACUCCUCCCCCUGCUGAGUCUGACUGACUUUUGUGAGUGCCCUUUAUGGUUAUUAAAUGUAAAUAAAUGACACUUUGGGAUCACAGCUUGCACCCUGUCAUUGUGCAGUGUGCUCCCAGAACUUUGGAUUUAGGCUUUGCCGAAGUUCAGUUGGACAAAGAAGAGAGCCUUUGGUAUCAAUUCUGUGGUCAGAUGAGACAAAAUGGAGUUGUUUGGACACAGGGGCUUGACUUUGGUUUGACAAAAGACUGGAAAUGUAGUAAAGAGCCCCAUCCACACGGUCCAGCAUGGUGGUGGGGAUAUGAAGCUUUGAGAGUGUUUUGAGCCGAUGAGCCGGACAGCAUUAAGAUUCUACCGGAAUAUUUGGCUCUGGGCAGCAGAAGACCUUUUAACAAGAAAACUAUCUUGCACAGCCAGAUUGGUCCAGACGUAGUUCACGGCAAACAUUUUGAAAUCCAGAUGUGAAUCCCAUCGAGAACCUGUGGAGGGAGCCGAAGACCAGAGUGAAGGAAAGGAAACCUUCAACUUCACUCUUCUGGGGAUCAGUGCAAAUAAGAGAUGGUCCACCUUCAAAAACAUGUCAAAAUACUAUAAGAACUAUUUAAUUACUGUUUGUAAUAAUUAUAAAGAAAAAAACCGAAAAAACAUUCAUUUCUCUCAUACGAUGUCUUGCUGUUUUUUGCCACUUGUUAAUGUUAUUUCCAACCAGACGAAGCCUGGUGAUCAAGUAAAAAUUCAUGGGUUAGUUUAGGUUAAUAAGUGUGAACUCUACACCGUUUAUUGUUACACUUAACUACAAAGCACAUAAAACUGGAACUAAUUGUCUGUACGAUAGUAAUCUAAAUAAAAUUUGAAUUUAAAUCUCUCAGAAA